UGAACUACUGAACCUUUUGAGGCUGGCCCAUCAUUAACUGGGACACAGAUCAACUAGGAAGUUCAGAACUAAGGCUGACAUUCUACCUUUAACUCGGGCUGUCGUUCCAGGUUCCAAAGGUGCCUCGAAUUAGAUAUCAUUUCCAUUUAUCUCUGGGCAUUAUAGAUGCUGCAUUACAUGCAUGUGCGAAACUGAAGGCAAUGGAAUUACUCCACACUAACAGUAGCGUAAAUGAGAUCAGAACCUGUUCCAGCGACCUCACAAAGCACCUGUCCUGGAAGUUCAAGCAAGAUUGUGAAACAUCAACGAGCAGCACCACAAUCUUCAGCUGCAUGAGUAGCGAGUCCAAGACCAGCAACUCUGUAUGGAAAUGCAGGCAUGGCAAACAAGUGCACAUGAUUCAUUCAUCUGUACAGGCUAGAAAGAGCAACUCUGGCAAGCUGAUAGAGUAUGCAAAUCUGAUGUCAUAAAACUGAUGGCAGCAGCCAGUCAUUCAAUACUUUCAUUCCUGCAUUACUUCUUGCACAUACUUUGUAAAGUGUUUUGAAAAUUAAAAGCACUCUGUGUAAGUGCUAAGUAUUAUUAGUAUCUUCACUGCUGUUUAGUAACAUUGUGACAGGGCAUAAGGCUCUGUUAGUUCACCUAAUACUGAUGAGUGUUUAAUCCCCCCCCACCCCAUGAUUCUGCAAAAAUUUUUGCCAUCUGAUGGCUCUGCAUAGACCUAUUUGAAAUGAGUCUGAGUCCAGUUCCCAGUUGUCUACAUCAGAAACAAAACCCUUACCAUGACUGACACUAAUUGGCACCCUGGCAGUCUCAGCAAAGAGGCAAAGGAAUGAAUGGGCAUGGAAACUGAACUACCAUCUCAGGCCUAGAAGUGACUGCUCCUUCUAGUUCAAGGUAGAUACACUCUGAUGGAGAAGUUUGGGAAGCCUGCAUGGUCCCUGCCUAUGCUAUGCCAGUUCUCUGGGUGAACAGGGG